rnacentral:lncRNA from 1 species
GAACUAUAUACUUUUUCCUAUAUCUUUUUCCUAUUCACCAGUUCCUCACAAAUAUACUUCUUUCUAAUGACAGAUUCUUUUUCAUGACUAUGUACUAUUCCAUGAUAUGGCAUAAUUUAUUCAACCAAUCUCCUAAUAAUGUUUUUUUCAGGAGAAGAAAACUAAUAUAUUUACUUCAUUUCCCAUUUUUUGGUAAUAAAUAUAAUACUCCUAAUAUGUUUACUUCAUUUCCCAUUUUUUUGUCACUAGGAAAUAAUAAUGCAAGAAAUAGGCUUGCUUAUAUAUCCUUAAUCAGUGGCCUUUAAAUUUCUACAAGAGAACCUACUGGAUCAAAGAGUAUAUUUAUUUUUAACGUUAACAGAUCUUGCCAGAUCACUUCCCCAAAAGCUGUAAUAACUCCCAUUCACAUUAGGAAUGGAUGAGAGCUUUUCCAUCUUCUCACUCUCAAUCUUUUGCCAAGAAUCAGAUUUACUUAUGUAUUUAUUUAUCUGCCAAUUUGGAGGUAUGAAAUGAAAUUUCACUAUUCUAGCCAAAUAUAUUUUUAUUUUACACCUUCUUGUUUUGAGUCUGCCUUAGAUGAUUUCUCCCUCCUAUCCUCCAUAUCAGUGCUUUCCAAAAAGUGGGUCAUAAAAUAAAUGUAAUAGAUAAUACUUUUCAAUUAUAUGGAAUAGAAUAUACAAUAAAGGCACCAUACACAGUAAAGGUAAGCAAAGUUCUAUGAAAUCUUGUUUCAUUUUUUAUAUAUGUGUAUGUUCUGGGUCACAAUAUAAAAUACAUAAAAUAUUAUUGUGGGUCUAGGUCCAAAAGUUUAAAAACAUAACCCUAAAAUGUAUAUGUAGUCUACUAGAUUUCCAAGAAAGGUAAUUUAGUCCUCACAUUUAAGUUUUUGCCAUCUGGAAUUUACUUCUAUAAGUGUUACAGGAAAGACCCAAUUUUAUUUCCUUUAAGAUGUAUAGUCAGUUGUGUCAACAUCAUCUAUUAAAAACACAUCCUUGGGACUUCCCUGGUGGUCCAGUGGUUAAGAAUCUGCCUUGAAAUGCAUGGAUAUGGGUUUGAUCCCUGGUAGGGGACACGACUGAGUGACUUCACGUUCACUUUUCACUUUCAUGCAUUGGAGNNNNNNNNNNNNNNNNNNNNNNNNNNNNNNGCCUGGAGAAUCCCAGGGACGGGGGAACCUGGUGGGCUGCUGUCUAUGGGCUCACACAAAGUUGGACACGAUGGAAGUGACUUAGCAGCAGCAGAAAUUCAAAGGUGCGGCUUCUCAGAUCACCCACCAGAUGGUGCUAUGGGGCCGAAGCAUAGAGUCUACCAGCCCCAGUCUGAAGCAACUAGCGAGCUGUCAGACCACAGUUUAUCAAUGUCA